UUUUCCCUCCCUUCUUCCCUCCUUCCUUCUUUUCUUUCUGUCCUUCUUUUUGCACAACAGUCAUAUUAUGAACGGCAAUGAUCAAACAAAUAGAAUGUAAUAAGACUGAACAUGUCCGUUUCUUUCAUUAAUUCAAUUGUAAAUUGGCCUCAUAGCCAAUGUAGAAGAAUCCGUGUGGUUUGGGAAGAAAACAGCUCAUUUGUAGCCAGAGCUCUGGCUGCCCUGGGAAACAGGACUCGGAGGACUCCCUGGGGAGGCCCCUUACACUAGGGUGCUGCUUGUUUUCUUCUGCUCUCGGUAGACACAGUGCCUCAGAAUCUAAUUCUGCCUAAUAAAAGUGUUCAACUUGCCAGCAAGGCUUCCCAGAUGGCUCCAGCUGUGCUUGGGAGUGGGCCCCGUGGGAAGCGACUAGACUCAGGGUGAGCACAAGGGAAUUGCAAUGAGAAGUCCCACUGGUGCCUGGCACCCAGGUGGCACCCAGGUGGCAUAAGGUUUUCCAGGAGGAAUCUCUUCUGCCCUUCGAUCUGUAUCCCAUACCACACCCUUCCUCUCCCGCUGGGAAUCAGCUCAAAAGCCUCCAUGUCUCCUUGCACUGGUAUCCUGGGCUACCACAGAAAGGGCCACCCAUUGUGGACUCAAAGCAACAGGAAUGUGGCCUUUCCCUGUUGCGGAGGCUGGAGAAGCUAGCAAGGAAUGGGAAAGGAAAAGCACCAGUGGGGGUGCCCAGCAGGAGCCUUCCACCUCUCCCUCCUUCAGAGAUCAUGGGUCUUGGCUUGUGGCACUCUACCUCCAUCAUCCUAUGCCCUCUCCUGUCACAGGGAUAGCAGCCCCUGGUAUCUUGCUCCAGUUUGAACUCCAUCCAUACUGCAUUUGCAAAGAUCCUGUUCCUAAGGGAGGUUCUGUCCCGAGGUGCUAGGAAUUUGGGAAAGACACCAUUUUAUGUUCUUGUUUCGGAACAAACUCAGAAACUUCCCUGAUCCCUCAGAGGAACCAAAUGAUGUCUGAGCCAUGAGCUGAGGGGAGGGCCUGCAUGCUCUGGCCCUGGUGUCCCAAGCCUGUCCCCCAACUCCCAAGGAGGCGCAGGCAGAAUGAUAAAAAGCUCAAGGCCAUCUUGGGCAACUUAGUGAACAAGACCGUCUUAAAAGGAGGGCUGUGAGUGUGACUCAGUGGCAGAGAGCUUGCCUGCUGCACACGGGUCGUAAAAGGACCAGGAGCCGGUAACACGGCUCAUUGGGUAAGGUACUUGCUGCCAAAACUUGAUGACCUAAAUUUAAUCCCAGACCCCCACAUAGUGGAAAGAGAUAACCAAAUCCUGCAAAUUGUCCUCUAACUUCCAUAUAUGGGCUGGUUCUCCCUCUCUCUCUCUCUCUCUCUCUCUCUCUCUCUCUCUCUCUCUCCACUCAUAUUUAAAUAAAUGCAACAAAACUGCCUUUAAAACCAAAUAAACAUCCAGGUGCGAUGGCUGGCACAUGCCUUUAAUCCCAACACUCAGGAAGUGGACACAGGCAGGUCUCUGUGAGUUCAAGGCCAGCCUGGCCUACCUAGUGAGUUCCCUGUCUCAAAAAAUAACUAAUAAAAAGACCAGCAUCCAUGACUCUGUGACCUCUGCGGUGACCACAGGCUUGCAGGGACCUGUGUGUCACGGAGAACAUUCCUAUCACCACUGCGGUGUUCACAGUGACUCUAAGGUGUGCCAUCACUGCUGACAAUAAGGAACCCAGAGCAUCGUUUCGAGGUCAGUGAAACAAUGCAUCCGUCCAGCUGCAGCAGGCCAGCCUGCGGCACUGUCACUGCCCAGCUCCGGAAGCCAGAUGGCUGUUUGGUGAAUGGAGGCUGAAGAGGCCACUAGAACCGGGACCCUGGACAGCAAGAGGAGGUUCCCGGACAGAGCUGAGCUAUGUUUCCCCAUGCAGAGGACUGGGUCUUGCCAGUUAAGAGUUUAGAGGGACGCCGUGGCAUUUCCCAAGUACCUGGUGUGCAGGAAGCCUUAAGGUUGAGGCCUGACACCGGUGCCUUUGGGUUUCACAGCAGGAGGCAGAGCCAGAGGUCAGGAACCUGAGUGGAGCUGGGGCUGUACCUGGAGCAGGGCUCUCCAAAGCUCAAAAUAUCCCGAGAGAGAAGACACCUGUGCAGGAAUCUCAGGACUUGGCACCUGCGCGGUGGUGCGGCCUCCCCGUGCUGAUGAGGACAGCUUCCACACGGUCAGAGUUAAUUAAGUUGACAAUCUCGCUAAGUCGCUCAGUUAACUGCCUGGGGAGAAAUAAGAUGAGGUGGCUUGUUGGCUAUUUCUUCUUGCUCUUUUAAGUACCCGAUAGUCAUUUUUUUAAAACAAGAUUUAUUCAUUUAUUAUAUAUAAGUACACUGUAGCUAUCUUCAGACACACCAGAAGAGGGCAUCAGAUCCCAUUACAGAUGGUUGUGAGCCACCAUGUGGUUGCUGGGAAUUGAACUCAUGACCUCUGGAAGAGCAAUUGGGUGCUCUUAACCACUGAGCCAUCUCUCCAGCCCCCCCGAUAGUCAUUUUUAAAAUUAAAUUAAAUGGCUUAUCUGUGCUAACACAAAUCGACACGCCAUCUUUCUUCAGCGGCUGAGUGGUACUGAACGGCCGUGACUGACUGCCAGCAUUCCUCGUGGAGGCAUGACUUGGCCGGACUAGGGUUACCCGCCCUGAGUGUUAAAUUCCAGAUUUCUCCCCUCAAAGUCACAGUCUGUGGGAUGGCAUUUUCUUUCAUUUUCUUCCAUGGGAUGUCUGUGGGUCCACAACAGGGCAGCAUGUCUGCUCUAUGGAGACAUUGUCCGCAUAAAGGCAAAGUGACACCGCGAUGGUUUGAGUGUUGUUGUUGUUUGUUUGUUUGUUUGUUUGUUUGAUUUUGCUUUUGGUUUUGUUGUUGUUGCUGUGUUUUCAAGCUUAGUAAUAUUUUAGGACAAAGGCAACCAAGUCCAAACUAUUUGUAACAGAGAACAGGGACUGAAGAAAACACAGUCUAGCACAUCGCAAUGACUGAUCUGAUGAACAGCUAAAGUAGGCCUAAUUGAAUAUGUGAGGCUUCUUUCCAAAGACUGACAAAAUUCUCCCUAGCAGAAAGGUUUUUUGGAGUUUUUACAAACUUUGGCAAUAGGACUUCUCAUACAUCCUUUCACCGCUGAGAAUAGCCCCCUUUGAAGCAAGGUGGAGCGACACCCAGGAGCAUACAGGGCUUCCCCGGCUAACCAUAAGUCUGUCCUGGGAGUUGCUCUCGCUUUCCAGCGGGGGCGAGCACUGGGCUCAGGUAGAGCUUGCUGCCUCAGCCUCUGGCUCAUUCCCGGGUCCCUGCAGGAUUGGCGCUGGCACAGAAAUCUAGAGGGACUGCGGGGAGCAUGCUUGGGGGCUACAGUCUGAAGUCAGAUGUCUCAGGGACCCAGGACCAGCUCCAGCGCCCCUCCCGUAGGGCCAUGGUAGCCGGAAGAUGUAGGACAACAGGGGGCUCCUGCACCAGGGACCUCCCUGGGAGCCAGGAAAGCGAGGGAGCAGCGCAGACCCUUUAUGUGGGCGCUAUUUGCAGUAGCCCCACUGAAAUGCUAGGACUGCACAGGGCUGGGCUGGGGUGGGACAUAUUUCACCAAAGGUUUUACUAUCCCACGAUGGUGAUUUGAAUUCUCUUCAGCAAAGAAAAGCAGGAGAGGAGAGAUGGCAGAAAGAGAGUUGAACCCUGGUCGGGAGUGAGGGUAAUCAGUGCUGCUGACCAGAGGAAGAACCAUGCCGGAGGGAAACGCGUCCCACAGAAGCGAAGAAAUUCUCCAGGAGAAUUUGUAUGGGUAGACUUCUGAAAAAAUGAUGCAGAGAACGAAAUAAAAACAAAAUGCAGGUUAAAGAAGUGGGUCUCAAACUGUCAUAGAAACCUACAACACAAGGCUGAAGAGAUGGCUUCAUCAAUAUAGAGCUGGCCUGAGGACUCCGGUUGAAGACUUAGUAUCACAUAAGAAAGCCAGGCACAGUAGCUGUGCUGGCUAAUUUUAUGUCAACUUGACAUCUGAGGAUCAUCUAGAACCCUCUGAGAGGAGGGAAUCCUGACUGAGAAAAAUGCCUCCAUAAGAUUGGGCUGUAGAUAAGCCUGAAGGAAUUGCCUUAAUUAGUGAUCCGUGGGAGAGAGCACAGCCCGUUGUGGGUGGGGCCGUCCCUGGGCUGGUGCUCCUGGGUUUUAUAAGGAAGCAGGCUGAGCAAGCCAUAAGGGGCAAGCCAGUGAACGGUACCUCUCUACAGCGUCUGUCCCAGCUCCUGCCUCCAGGUUCCUGCCCUGUUGAAUUCCUGUCCUGACUUCCUUCAGUGAUCUGAACAGUGCUGUGGACCUGUAAGCCAAAUAAACCCUUUCCUCCCCAGCUUGCUUUUGGUCAUGAUGUUUCCAGAGCAAUAGAAACCCCCGACUAAGGGCUGGAGAGAUGGCUCAGUGGUUAAGAGCACUGACUGCUCUUCCAGAGGUCCCGAGUUCAAAUCCCAGCAACCACAUAGUUCACAACCCUCUGUAAUGAGAUCUGAUGAUACCCUCUUCUGGUGUCUCUGAAGACAGCUAUAAUGUACUCAUAUAUAAUAAAUAAAUAUUAAAAAAAAGAACUAAGACAAAUUGUUACCAGGACAGUGAAGUAUUGCUGUAGGAGACCUGAACAUGAUGAUGCUUUGGGGAAGAAUAUGGAAGAAAUUUAGAACUUGGAACCACUGAGAGCUCAGUGAGCUGUUCUGUAGGAGCUUGGCAGACAAGAACGUUGAGGGUAGAUGAUUGGACACCCGGCUUGUGAGGCUUCAGAGGGAAGCAAAGACUCUACUGGGCCUUUUGUGUGAAGAAUCUGUGAUGCUGCUCAGCUGUGAUUAAAAAAGAAACCAGAACUACUGAAGGAAAACCUUUGUUUUUCUGGGACAAUGGACGGCGGUCAGCUGGGGCUGAGAAUCAGCUGUGAUUAGGAAAGGCCAGGAUUACUGAAGCCUUCUGGGAAGUUUUUCCUCGGAGUCAGCACACAGAAGCUGUGUUCAAGGGUUCCGAGGUCGUGCCUUGUUGUGGCAGCCAAAUGUGGUUGUGUGUAAGGUCUCCCAGGUGCUUCUGGUUUUGAAGGCACGAAGGAGUCAUGGAGAAAGCCCGAGACUUUGCAUCAUGCAGAGAGCCCAGGAGAGGCUGUUGGUGAACAUCCAGCCCAGUUUUAGUAGAAGACCCCAGCAGUUUGGAGAUUCCAGUACCCUGGGAUGACCACCAAGAACAGCAGCAGCAGUAGUAGAGCAGACUGGAGCUUAGACAAGCUGUGAGUGCUGGACAGGUGGAGCUGGAGAAGCAACCCAAGCCCCUUGGAGGAGCCCAGAAGAUGGACUGUGAUUCUGGUAGCCCAAUGAUGUCUGUCUCUGGAACGAAAAGCUAAGAAUCCAAUAGUUGGCUCAGUUCGCAGAAAUGCAUGUCUCGGCAGUCCAGUACUGGAGUCCCAGAGGAUUCAAGAGCUGCUGCUCUUCAGGCUACGUUGGAAUUCGGAAGAGGUGGGUCCUAAUGUCAGUGAAGGAGUACCUCAGCAACAACGAUAGAUACUCCUGCCAGCGAAUGAAGGCAACCAGACAAUAAGUUCAUCUUUCAUCCCAGAAACUGCAACCCAGACUUUCCCAGAGAUUUCUCACAGCUUCAUUUUGCUCCUGGGAUUUCUGUAAUAAAGAAUCAGUAUUCCAUCGUCUUCCCACAAUUAGGAUUGUCGUUAUGAUUAAUAACCAAGGGGCUGGAGAAAUGGCUCAGUGAUUAAGAGCACUGAUUGCUCUUCCAGAGGCCCUGAGUUCAAUUCCCAGCAACCACAUGGUGGCUCACAACCAUCUGUAAGGAGACCCGAUGCCCUCUUCUGGUGUGUCUGAAGACAGCUACAGUGUACUUAUAUAUAAUAAAUGAAUAAAUAAAUCUUAAAAAAAGAUUGCUUUAAAAAAAAAAAAGAAACAACAGCAACACACACACACACGAAUGACAGUAGGGGGAGUUAUAAGUUGGUCUUCUUCCCUGGCUGAAGGAGUCCUAGAAAGCACCUGGACUCCAUCCUGCACAGGGCUCUGGGUGCAGGACCCCUCCCCUCAAAUCCUACAGAAGCUCACCUGGGUUUCUAAUACACACUCAUCUUAUAUCAGGAAAGCUCAGACUUUGGGGAUAAGCCACCUGCUCAGAGGCCCAGAAGGCAGAGCUAGGUUCUGACAGUAGCACCCUGUUGGGACAGAAAAGAUGGGCAUUUGUUCUUGGAGGGGACCUGGUUUCUAUACCUGGCAACCACUCACAACUGUCCAUAACUCCAGUUCCAGUGGAGAAAACACUUUUAGCUUCCACAUACACACAAGCCAAAUAAUCAUACGCAUGAAGAAUAAAUCUAAAAGGGAACCAUUGUCCACCCCUACCCAUAAUCCCCCUCCUCUAGUCAGGGGCUGUGCAGACCAGUCACUGGCCCUGAGAAGCUAUGAACCAUGGUCCCUAGAGUGAGCUCUCUGCAGCCUAGCAACGUGUUCCCUUCCUCCCUGCUCUGACCAGCCUCUUCCCGCCAUGCUCUGAUUCAAUUCCCUGUCCACCUCGGAACAUGGGGUAAUUGUGUUAAGAAAUUCUACACUUACUGUAAGGAUGAGCUUCAGCGUCUGCCGACACCUGGUUCCAGGCAAAGGCUUCUAUCCAACCCUUUCUGCCAGGGCAUGGAGGCAGGGUUGGAGGUCACAGGGAGAAAGUAGAAUGUUCUGAGUCAUGCCCUGCAAGGCCAGGCGGAGACAUACAAAGGGGCUUUGUGGGUAAAAGUCCUGGGUUGUGGCUGAGCCCAGAGCUUAUUCCUAAGAACCUGUCCUAGCUAGGUUUGGCAAUUUGACACAAGCUACAGUCAUUUCGCUAGAAGGAACCUUGACUGGGCAAAUGUUUCCACUAGAGUGGCCUGUGGACAAAUCUGUGGUGCAUUUUCUUGAUUGGUGAUUGAUAUGGGAGGGCCCAGCACAGUCCUAUCCCUGGGCUGGUGGUUCUGAGUUCAUUAAAAAGAAAAAAAAGCAGGCUGAGCAAGCCAUGGGAACCAAGCCAGUAAGCAGCACCCCUUCACAGACUCUCCAUCAGCUUCUACCUCGGGGUCCCUGCCCUGCUUGAGUUCUAACCCUGAGUUCUUUCCAUGACAAACAAUGAUACGGAAAUACAAACUGAAAUAAAUCCUUUCUGCCCCAAGUUGCUCUGGUCAUGGUGUUUCGACACAGAAAUAGAGACCUAAAACAGAGACUUUAUCAGUGGCAGCAGGGAGUUGGGGAUGCGGCUCAACCAAUAGAACACUUGCCAAGUAUGUUUGAGGUCCCGCGUUGCAUCCUGUGGACCGUGGAAAAA